GUCUCGGAUAGCUUAACGGGUAGAGCCUUUGGCGCGCAACCAAACGAUCCGAGUUUGAGUCCCGGUCUGGGCA
rnacentral:tRNA from 1 species